UGGCGGACGGGUGAGUAAUGUCUGGGAAACUGCCUGAUGGAGGGGGAUAACUACUGGAAACGGUAGCUAAUACCGCAUAACGUCGCAAGACCAAAGAGGGGACCUUCGGGCCUCUUGCCAUCGGAUGUGCCCAGAUGGGAUUAGCUAGUAGGUGGGGUAACGGCUCACCUAGGCGACGAUCCCUAGCUGGCUGAGAGGAUGACCAGCCACACUGGAACUGAGACACGGUCCAG
rnacentral:rRNA from 1 species